AGAGUUUGAUCAUGGCUCAGAAUCAACGCUGGCGGCGUGCCUAACACAUGCAAGUCGAACGAGAAAGUGGAGCAAUCCAUGAGUAAAGUGGCGCACGGGUGAGUAACACGUGACUAACCUACCCUCGAGUGGGGAAUAACCUCGGGAAACCGGGGCUAAUACCGCAUAACAUCUACGGAUCAAAUGCGUAAGCAGCUUGAGGAGGGGGUCGCGGCUGAUUAGCUAGUUGGCGGGGUAAUGGCCCACCAAGGCAGUGAUCAGUAGCCGGCCUGAGAGGGCGCACGGCCACACUGGAACUGAAACACGGUCCAGACUCCUACGGGAGGCAGCAGUGGGGAAUUUUGCGCAAUGGGGGAAACCCUGACGCAGCAACGCCGCGUGGAGGAUGAAGCCCCUUGGGGUGUAAACUCCUUUCGAUCGGGACGAUUAUGACGGUACCGGAUGAAGAAGCACCGGCUAACUCUGUGCCAGCAGCCGCGGUAAUACAGAGGGUGCAAGCGUUGUUCGGAAUUAUUGGGCGUAAAGGGUGCGUAGGCGGUGCGGUAAGUCUUCUGUGAAAUCUCCGGGCUUAACUCGGAGCCUGCAGGGGAAACUGCCGUGCUGGAGUAUGGGAGAGGUGAGUGGAAUUCCCGGUGUAGCGGGGAAAUGCGUAGAUAUCGGGAGGAACACCUGUGGCGAAAGCGGCUCACUGGACCAUUACUGACGCUGAUGCACGAAAGCUAGGGGAGCAAACAGGAUUAGAUACCCUGGUAGUCCUAGCCCUAAACGAUGAUCGCUUGGUGUGACAGGUACCCAAUCCUGUCGUGCCGGAGCUAACGCGUUAAGCGAUCCGCCUGGGGAGUACGGUCGCAAGGCUGAACUCAAAGGAAUUGACGGGGGCCCGCACAAGCGGUGGGAGCAUGUGGUUCAAUUCGACGCAACGCGAAGAACC
rnacentral:rRNA from 1 species